UACGUAGGGUGCAAGCGUUAAUCGGAAUUACUGGGCGUAAAGGGUGCGUAGGUGGUGAGGUAAGUCUGAUGUGAAAUCUCCGAGCUCAACUCGGAAAUGGCAUUGGAAACUACCUUGCUAGAGGGUUGGAGGGGGGACUGGAAUACUUGGUGUAGCAGUGAAAUGCGUAGAUAUCAAGUGGAACACCAGUGGCGAAGGCGAGUCCCUGGACAACUCCUGACACUGAGGCACGAAAGCUAGGGGAGCAAACAGG
rnacentral:rRNA from 1 species